AUGGCUGUCGUCAGCUCGCGUCGUGAGAUGUUGGGUUAAGUCCCGCAACGAGCGCAACCCACGUCUUUAGUUGCCAGCAUUCAGUUGGGCACUCUAGAGAGACCGCCGGUGAUAAACCGGAGGAAGGUGUGGAUGACGUCAAGUCAUCAUGCCCCUUACAUCCUGGGCUACACACGUACUACAAUGCUACGGACAAAGGGCAGCAAACUCGCGAGAGCUAGCAAAUCCCAUAAACCGUGGCUCAGUUCAGAUCGUAGGCUGCAACUCGCCUACGUGAAGGAGGAAUCGCUAGUAAUCGCAGGUCAGCAUACUGCGGUGAAUACGUUCCCGGGCCUUGUACACACCGCCCGUCACACCAUGGAAGUUGGCCAUGCCCGAAGUCGUUACUCCAACCCGCAAGGGAGGAGGACGCCGAAGGUGGGGCUGAUGACUGGGGUGAAGUCGUAACAAGGUAGCCGUACCGGAAGGUGCGGCUGGAUCACCUCCUAAC
rnacentral:rRNA from 1 species